rnacentral:lncRNA from 1 species
GGGCCAGGCUCUCGGUGGCCACGGUGGCCACCAGGCCCGGCCGGUGCAGGUGGAGCUGCAGGGCCGGGCCGGACGCUGCGAGCGGCGACGCCUGAGGGGCUUCGGCCACGGCCGGACGGGGCCUGGGGACACCCGGGGUGGCCUUGGGGACAUCUGGGACUUCUGAGGGGACCUUGGGGUGGCCUUGGGGACACCUCAGGUGGCCUUGGGGACAUCUGGGGGGGGCAUUGGGGAUAUCUGGGGUGGCCUUGGGGACAGUUGAGGACACCUGGGGUGGCCUUGGGGACACCUGAAAUUUCUGAGGGGACCUUGGGGACACCUGAGGUGGCCUUGGGGACAUCUGGGGGGACCUUGGGGACAUCUGGGACUUCUGAGGGGACAUUUGGGGACAUCUGGGGUGGCCUUGGGGACAUCUGAGGGGACGUCUGGGUGGCCUUGGGGACAUCUGGGGUGGCCUUGAGGACAUCGGGGUGGCCUUGGGGACAUCUGGGACUUCUGAGGGGACACUGGGGACAUCUGGGGUGGCCUUGGGGACACCUCAGGUCGCCUUGGGGACACCUGGGGUGGCCUUGGGGACAUCUGGGGUGGCCUUGGGGACAUCUGGGACUUCUGAGGGGACCUUGGGGUGGCCUUGGGGACAUCUGGGGACACCAGGGGUGGCCUUGGGGACAUCUGGGGUGGCCUUGGGGACAUCUGGGGUGGCCUUGGGGACAUCUGGGGUGGCCUUGGGGACAUCUGAGGAGACAUCUGGGACAUCUGAGGUGGCCUUGGGGACAUCUGGGGACACCAGGGGUGGCCUUGGGGACAUCUGGGACUUCUGAGGGGACCUUGGUGACAUCUGGGGUGGCCUUGGGGA